AUAUGGAAUUUUAGCCUUAAUAAGCUUUAUUUUCUGUCCCACACAGCCUCAGGUGUUCACCUUCUUCCUAUGUGAAGAGAAUGCUGGGCGAAAAACAUCAUGUGAGACAAGGAAGGGGAAAAAUAGUAUUAAUUAAACAUUGCACAAAUGAAGAUCUGAUGAUUCAGUUUGUUGAACUCAGCAGAACUUACUUCCUCUAGGCACACCGACAGACCGUAUAAAAACGGCUCUCCCACAGUCGGUUACUCCACAAGCAUCCGAUACUCACUCAUCAGAUCCACUAGGAAAGCAGAUCUACUCUACCUUCUCUAAGAUGGCUCGGGUGAUGGACAGCCUUCCGUUCGACAACUUGAAUCAUCCAUUAGAUGAAAGCCUCUCCGUCUUUGACUCCUACCUUAAAUAUCCUGGCAGCUAUCCACCGGUUCAGCGUCCCAGCUGGCAGUGUCCCCGUGGCUAUGUCCGAAGGUGGUGGGGCCCCUUCAAUAUCCCAGGGUGCGGCGCCUGCUAUAUCCCAAUAUGUUGCCGCCCCUGGUAACCCUACAAGAACUACUACCCUGGUUACUGCCCAUGUUAAGCCCAGAUCAUCUUUAACAGUACAUCCAGGAAAGAAGACACAAGAUUCUGACCCUCGGCUGAAUGAAUGGACACAAUAUUCAGAAGUGCUGAGUGCUCUACAUACCCCACUGAAUUACCAAUGGGAUUUGUGAGGGCUCAGCAUGUCUCUUGAUUCAUGUGGUGCUUUGACUUUAUUGCUUUGGCUUCCUGAUGUUUGUGUGCAUGCUUCCUUUUUGGAACAUCCAUCGCCUUGUGAUUGAGCCAUUUGUGAUGUGCUCAGACCCUCUUACUCCUUCCUUUGUUUUCUCAUUAAAGUGUUCAGCAUAUCAUAAAA